CUAAAACAUGCAAGUCGCACGGGAAUUCCGGGGCAACCUGGAUAGUACAGUGGCGGAAGGGUGAGUAAUGCAUGGGUAACGUACCUUAGGGCACAGGGACAGCCGCGGGAAACUGCGGGUAAUACCUGAUGAGACCACGAUGUCACAAGACAUUGCGGUCAAAUGACGGGGAUCCUUCGGGACCUGUUGGCCUUUGAGCGGCCCAUGUCCUAUCAGCUAGUUGGUGAGGUAACGGCCCACCAAGGCAACGACGGGUAGCCGGACUGAGAGGUCGACCGGCCACAUUGGCACUGAGACACUGGCCAGACUCCUACGGGAGGCUGCAGUAACGAAUAUUCCGCAAUGGGCGAAAGCCUGACGGAGCGACGCCGCGUGCAGGAAGAAUCCCUUCGGGGUGUAAACUGCUGUCAGAGGAUGCCAAGCAACCGGAUCUAAUAUAUCCGGAAGUUGAGGAGCCUCAGAGGAAGCCACGGCUAACUUCGUGCCAGCAGCCGCGGUAAGACGAAGGUGGCAAGCGUUGUUCGGAAUCACUGGGCCUAAAGCGCACGUAGGCGGCUCAUCAAGUGUCAUGUGAAAACCCUCGGCCCAACCGAGGAAUUGCUUGGCAAACUGAUGGGCUUGAGGCAGGUAAGGGUAAGUGGAACUCUUGGUGGAGCGGUGAAAUGCGUAGAUAUCAAGAGGAACGCCGGUGGUGAAGACGACUUACUAGGCCUGUCCUGACGCUGAGGUGCGAAAGCCAGGGGAGCAAACGGGAUUAGAUACCCCGGUAGUCCUGGCCCUAAACGAUGUCCACUAGGUCGGAGCCACUCUGACGUGCUUCCGGCCGAAAUGAAAACGUUAAGUGGACCGCC
rnacentral:rRNA from 1 species